GCAUUGGUGGUUCAGUGGUAGAAUUUUUGCCUUCCGUGCAGGAGAUCCCAGUUCAAUUUCCGGCCAGUGCA
rnacentral:tRNA from 1 species